rfam:Gonapodya prolifera JEL478 unplaced genomic scaffold M427scaffold_36, whole genome shotgun sequence.
UGCCGCGGGGUUUCCGCAGAUCGAAUGAUUCUUUCGCCUUUUACUAAAGAAUCCCGUGUAGAUUCCCCACUAAGCGGCAUGAUGAUAAUUCUGGAAUCCCUUCCUCGGUGAGAGGAAU